rnacentral:rRNA from 1 species
UACAGAGGAUGCAAGCGUUAUCCGGAAUGAUUGGGCGUAAAGCGUCUGUAGGUGGCUUUUUAAGUCCGCCGUCAAAUCCCAGGGCUCAACUCUGGACAGGCGGUGGAAACUACCAAGCUGAAGUACGGUAGGGGCAGAGGGAAUUUCCGGUGGAGCGGUGAAAUGCGUAGAGAUCGGAAAGAACACCAACGGCGAAAGCAGCUUACUAUGGUUUGAUUGACACUGAGGCACGAAAGCGUGGGGAUCAAACAGG